UGUUUGCAGGCUGGUCUCGAACUCCUGACCUCAGGUGAUCCGCCCGCCUUGGCCUUCCAAAGUGCUGGGAUUACAGACCUGACCCACCAUGCCUGGCCUCAAGGAAAUACCUUGAAAGAUCACAGACUGGGAAACAGGCAUGAGAAAGAAAAAAAAUGGAUAUCUGAGGAGCCAGGGAACUUUCUUUACCUCCUGGUAUCAUUUCAUGAGAAUUACUAGCAUCUGCACAAUGGGGCCUUGGAGAGAGGAAUAAAAGGAAAAAUCUGGAAUGGAACCACAUGACGCAGCAGCCUACUCGGACUCCCUGCCCAGCUGCUGUAUGUCUGGGAAACAGAAUAAAUAGCACUUGAGCAUCCCUGA